AUUGAACGCUGGCGGCAGGCCUAACACAUGCAAGUCGAGCGGAUGAAUUGUGCUUGCUCCUGUAUUCAUCUUCGGACUGGUGUUUAAUUCCUAGUAAUCUUCCUGGUAGUGGGUUAUAACGUCCUGUUACGGGCUCUAAUACCGCAUACGUCCUGAUGGAGAAAGUUUUUUUUCUUCGGACCUCACGCUAUCAUAUUAGCCUAGGUCGGAUUAGCUAGUUGGUGGGGUAAAGGCCUACCAAGGCGACGAUCCGUAACUGGUCUGAGAGGAUGAUCAGUCAGACUGGAAAUGAGACACGGAAAAGACUACGAAGGGAGGCAGCAGUGGGGAAUAUUGGACAAUGGGCGAAAGCAUGAUAAAGAAAUGCCGAGUGUGUGAAGAAGGUCUUCGGAUUGUAAAGCACUUUAAGUUGGGAGGAAGGGAAGUAAGUUAAGAACUUGAUGUUGUGACGUUAACAACAGAAUAAGCACCGGCUAACUACGUG
rnacentral:rRNA from 1 species